UUUAAAAAAUAUACACUGGAAAUAAUAUCAAUGACAGGACAGCAUUUUUAUGUAUAGACAUUCAACUCAUCAAACAACGUGUAUUUAACAAACUUUAUUUUAAUUUACUAGUGUUUUCUGCGUAAUAAAAAGGGAAAUGGAUGCUUUAAUUUUCAGUUCGAAUGAAUCAACGAUCAGUUGGGAACAAGCUGAGCGGCGACCACCUCAUAUUAUUUCAACGUUGCUGACCUUCUUAUGAUGGAUAUAUGAACCAAAGAUUUGUUAGACCUUGGUAGUGACGUCAAUAAGAGCAACAAAUGUUUCUCAUUUAAAAUUUUAUCAACUACAUUCAAUAAUUGACAUAUUAACAGGUUGAAUGCAUUAAUGGAGUCAUGAGGUUUUUUUUUGUAUCUAUUUUGAGUUGAUACAACUUCAUCUUCAAAAAAAAUACAUAGAUGAUCUCAUUCUUAUCCCACAAAGUCAUUGGUAUUUUCUCCUUUAACACAUGAUAUUUGUAUCAAGAGCUAGAGCCAAUCGAAAAGUACUUACAA